rnacentral:rRNA from 1 species
CUGAACCAGCCAAGUAGCGUGAAGGAUGACUGCCCUAUGGGUUGUAAACUGCUUUUAUAUAGGAAUAAAGUCGGGUAUCCAUACCCGUUUGCAUGUACUAUAUGAAUAAGGAUCGGCUAACUCCGUGCCAGCAGCCGCGGUAAUACGGAGGAUCCGAGCGUUAUCCGGAUUUAUUGGGUUUAAAGGGAGCGUAGAUGGAUGUUUAAGUCAGUUGUGAAAGUUUGCGG